CUCCACAUCUAUCCGAACUAAAAUUCCCUCCUUCCCUCGUUUUCUGCUCUCGCUUCCCCUUACUUUCCCCCAAACCCCUCUCUCUCUCUCCUCCGAUCCUCUCCAAUUUCACCAAACCCUAGCAAUCGCUCCUUCCUCUCUUCCACACACAUCUCUCCGCUUCCAUCGCCUAAUCUUCCAUGUCUGGACCUCGAGCUCCCACCCGCUCCGCGCCUCCGCCGCCUUCCUCUGGUCAGAUCCUGCGGCCGAUGAAGCGUCACCUCCCCUUCACGUCUACCAAGCCGCCGUUCGUCCCUCCUGACGAUUACCACCGGUUUUCGUCUGCCGAUGCUCACGGGGUUGCCAAUCACGAACCUGAAGGCAUUGUCGUCAAGUCCCCUCAAUUGAAGCGGAAAAGUGCAAUGGAUGAAAAUGAAGUCGGAUCUAGUGAAUGGACUGCCAGUCCUGGAUAUGCUGAUGCAGGUAACAGUCCCUUUCGAACUCCUGUUUCUGGAAAAGGGGGAAGGAUAUACAGCAAGUCAAAGGUCUCAAAGGGCAAUGUAUGUGGACCUCAGACCCCUGUGUCAAAUGCUGGUUCCCCUUCUACUCUUACUCCAGCUGGCAACUGCCGCUAUGACAGUUCGCUAGGUCUUUUAACAAAAAAGUUCAUCAAUUUGAUCAAGCAUGCAGAAGAUGGUAUUCUUGACCUAAACAAAGCUGCUGAGACUUUGGAGGUUCAGAAGAGGCGGAUAUAUGACAUAACAAAUGUUCUGGAAGGAAUUGGUCUCAUUGAAAAGAAGCUCAAGAACAGGAUCCGCUGGAAGGGGCUUGAUGUUUCAAGGCCAGGGGAGGUUGAUGAUGAUGUCACCAUUUUACAGGCAGAAGUUGAAAACCUUUCCCUGGAAGAACGCAGAUUAGAUGAUCACAUCAGGGAAAUGCAGGAAAAGUUGAGGGAUUUGAGCGAAGAUGAAAACAAUCAAAAGUGGCUUUUUGUGACUGAAGAUGACAUCAAGGGCCUACCCUGCUUUCAGCAGAAUGAGACCCUUAUAGCAAUUAAAGCUCCACAUGGGACCACUCUGGAAGUUCCAGAUCCUGAUGAGGCUGUUGACUAUCCACAGAGAAGAUAUCGUAUAGUCCUUAGAAGCACAAUGGGUCCAAUCGAUGUCUACCUUGUCAGUCAAUUUGAGGAAAAAUUUGAGGAGAUGAAUGGGACUCAGCCUCCUUUGAGCUUUCCUCUUGCAUCAAGUUCAGGGUCUAAUGAGAACCCAUCAACAGAGGUCGUCAUUGCUGAUAGCAGUGGGAAGGAACUUGAACCUCAAGAUGGUUAUCAAAUGUGUUCUGAUCUUACUGCAUCACAGGAGUUUAUCGGAGGAAUCAUGAAGAUCGUUCCUGAUGUUGAUAGUGAUGCUGAUUACUGGCUUCGAUCAGAUGCAGAAGUUAGCAUUACAGAUAUGUGGAAGACAGACUCGUAUGUUGAAUGGAAUGGAGUGGAUAUGCUUAAUGCAGAGUUUGGAAUGGCUGAUGUCAGUACUCCACUGCCUCAAACACCUCCAUCUGGCCUUGCCGAGGGGCCGUCUACUGCUGUUAACCCUACACAUAGGUGAUUUCAACUGGUCCAUUGAGUUUAAUCAAGAAACUCAGGCACCUGCCUCGUAGCAACCUUCUAUGCCCAUCAAUUUUCCUUUUAAUGCCACUGGUUCAGUUCUUGAACUGGGAGUGGAAGAUACCAUUGGGUUGGCCAUUAAUGCAUCAUGCAGUGGAUGGAUGGUAAGCUGGAGGUAACUGCUAGUAUACAGUUGAGAGAUACAGUUGACCCUGUGGUUUAGUAAUGAAUAAAAAAACAAGUUGCUUUUGCUAUUUAAAAGGAACAUGGCAGCAGAUAAUGGAAUGACUAUAGCCAUGUGUGCUGCAAACACAUGAAAUGGAUGUAGCAAGGUUGAGCAUACUGCAUGGAUAUCCUUGCUUUCAGAGAUUUCCCUCAAUUUAACUAACAUGAAAUGUAUCAUGUAUGUUCCUAGACAUUUGGUAUGCAGCCUUGUGUUCUCCCGCAGGAGAGGGGAAAUGAGAGAAGGUGGUGGGUUGGGUUUUGUUGUUCCUGCAACUACUAAGCAGUAUAGAAUAUGGUUAUGGUGAUAAAGGAUGCUGAUUUUUAUUUGAUACGUCUCAGUUCCGGGGAUUGCAUCCUUUCCUAUAGUAUAAAUAUUGUAUGCAAGUUCUGAACUACAAGUUGAACUUGAGUCAACUACUUGGGGAAGUGGAAAUGAAGUUCACAAGCAGAACCAGGGUGCUUGUGAAGGAUUUAGCUUCAUGUUAAAUGUGGUUCUUUCAGAUCCAGAAUGGAAAUAAUUUGUAGGAGUCUAUGGAAGUAUAACACAUGCUGCAUAAGUACUAGGUAUGUAUUAUGACAUUUAUUCAUCAGUCUUUUUAAAAAAAAAUUAAAUUCUAUUAAUAUCAAGGCAAUUGUGAACAUAUUUUUUUGCCUGUCGGAGCCAACUGCUUGGCAGUACUGCAGCUCUGUUUGGUAGUAUGUCAUUUUCAUUCCACAAAGCCUUGAAGAGAAUGAUACUCUUUACUUCAAAGUGGGGACCAAUUUGUUUUGCCCUCUUAGAAGGAAGUGGAUGAAGGGCCUUGGUUCCUCAACAUCUUGGGCUCUUGACGCUGAGAGAUUUGUCCUGUGUCAGGAAGCGGGAAGAAAGGACUCCUUAGCGGUAUGAAAAACUAUCGGUUGCCCGCUUGCACGUCAACCUCUUUUUAUAUAUGGCCCAUUUGUGCAGGCAGGUUGGAUUGGUCAACAGUAGAUAAGGUAUGGUGAGAUUCUAGAAGUGACCUUUUUUUUAUCCAUCUCAUAACCACACAACUUUCAAUCAAUCCACACUGGAUUCCCAAUAUGGUCCAGCCUGCAAGUCACUUCUCCGCUCUUCUUUUUCCAAUUUUAUCUGGUAUACUUUUUCGGUGGCUCAGAUGCUCCUGUGGUUCCACCUGCAGCAGCUACUGUGCUAUUUUCCAAUUUAGAAUUUGAAAAGUAUGUUUCAGACUUUUGAAAAUAUUUAUUAAAAAACCCUUGUUCUUAA